CAGUCGCCACGGUAAUACCAGGGGGGCAAGCGUUGUUCGGAAUUAUUGGGCGUAAAGGGCGCGUAGGCGGUUUGACAAGUUUGGUGUGAAAUCUAUGGGCUCAACCCAUAGCCUGCAUCGAAAACUGUCGGGCUUGAGUAUGGGAGAGGUGAGUGGAAUUUCCGGUGUAGCGGUGAAAUGCGUAGAUAUCGGAAGGAACACCUGUGGCGAAAGCGGCUCACUGGACCAUUACUGACGCUGAGGCGCGAAAGCUAGGGGAGCAAACAGGAUUAGAUACCCCAGUAGUCCCUGUCUCUUAUAC
rnacentral:rRNA from 1 species